rnacentral:tRNA from 1 species
GGGGGUAUGGCUCAGGGGCAGAGUGCAUGCUUGGUAUGCAUGAGGGCCUGGGUUCAAUCCCCAGUACUUCCA